UGUAGUCUAUACAUUUUGCGGCUUUAAUUCUGUGAGAAAGUUCACCAGAAUUAAUGAAUUCCUGUUAAGCUAUAUUUUAUUUCUGUAUUGUAACGCAGGCCAAUAAAUUGGAGAUGAAGAAAUUACAGGAGGAGCAACAGAGAAGGGAGCUGCACCAACAUGAUCUACAAAUGAUAAGAGAACAGCAACAACAAAGGCUUCAGAGGUCCAGCUCAGUUCCUAUGGCAGCGAGCAACUCCACACCAGCGUCAUCUUGGAGUGAAAUUUUGGAGGAAAAACAAAAACACGAGGAGGAGGACAGGAAGAGGCGAAUGGAAAGCGAACGUCUGCGGGUGAACUCGGCCUUCCUAGACAGACUGGAGGCGAGCGGAUCAGGUAGAGCGUCUGGGUCCCACCCCUGCACCCCGGAGGGUGGUAACAUCUGGAAGACGGAGGAACCACAAGACCCUGCCUCAUCCCCGAUGCCCUUCACAACACAGCUCCACAGUAUCAAGAAGGAGGAAGAGGAGGAGGAGGACGAGAAGAGGGAUGUGAAAGUGGAGGAGGAGGACGAGGGUGAGCCAGAUUUAUGUGCUAGCCAUUAUGCAUGUUUAGUCUUAGGCCCUUCUGUAAUUGUUUCCAUUGCAGUGUCUUCUCUCAUCAAAAAGUAAUUUGUCUCCGGGUAUGAUUGAUACUGUGCAGAGCUCUGUCGUCCUAUCCCCAGUAGUCUUUUUUGUCAGGCCCCGUAAGGCGGUGUAGCGCAUUAUGUAAAUAAAACUAAGCCUCUAAAUCCUCCUUGUGCGACA
rnacentral:lncRNA from 1 species